rnacentral:rRNA from 1 species
GACGAACGCUGGCGGCGUGCUUAACACAUGCAAGUCGAACGGAAAGGCCCUUCGGGGUACUCGAGUGGCGAACGGGUGAGUAACACGUGGGUGAUCUGCCCUGCACUUUGGGAUAAGCCUGGGAAACUGGGUCUAAUACCGAAUAGGACCACGCGCUUCAUGGUGUGUGGUGGAAAGCUUUUGCGGUGUGGGAUGGGCCCGCGGCCUAUCAGCUUGUUGGUGGGGUAUUGGCCUACCAAGGCGACGACGGGUAGCCGGCCUGAGAGGGUGACCGGCCACAAUGGGACUGAGAUACGGCCCAGACUCCUACGGGAGGCAGCAGUGGGGAAUAUUGCACAAUGGGCGGAAGCCUGAUGCAGCGACGCCGCGUGAGGGAUGACGGCCUUCGGGUUGUAAACCUCUUUCAAUAGGGACGAAGCGCAAGUGACGGUACCUAUAGAAGAAGCACCGGCCAACUACGUG